UACGUAGGGUGCGAGCGUUGUCCGGAAUUAUUGGGCGUAAAGGGCUCGUAGGCGGUUUGUCGCGUCGGGAGUGAAAACAUCUGGCUUAACUGGGUGCUUGCUUUCGAUACGGGCAGACUAGAGGUAUGCAGGGGAGAACGGAAUUCCUGGUGUAGCGGUGAAAUGCGCAGAUAUCAGGAGGAACACCGGUGGCGAAGGCGGUUCUCUGGGCAUGACCUGACGCUGAGGAGCGAAAGUGUGGGGAGCGAACAGG
rnacentral:rRNA from 1 species